AACGCUGGCGGCGUGCCUAAUACAUGCAAGUCGAGCGAACAGACGAGGAGCUUGCUCCUCUGACGUUAGCGGCGGACGGGUGAGUAACACGUGGAUAACCUACCUAUAAGACUGGGAUAACUUCGGGAAACCGGAGCUAAUACCGGAUAAUAUAUUGAACCGCAUGGUUCAAUAGUGAAAGACGGUUUUGCUGUCACUUAUAGAUGGAUCCGCGCCGCAUUAGCUAGUUGGUAAGGUAACGGCUUACCAAGGCAACGAUGCGUAGCCGACCUGAGAGGGUGAUCGGCCACACUGGAACUGAGACACGGUCCAGACUCCUACGGGAGGCAGCAGUAGGGAAUCUUCCGCAAUGGGCGAAAGCCUGACGGAGCAACGCCGCGUGAGUGAUGAAGGUCUUCGGAUCGUAAAACUCUGUUAUUAGGGAAGAACAAAUGUGUAAGUAACUAUGCACGUCUUGACGGUACCUAAUCAGAAAGCCACGGCUAACUACGUGCCAGCAGCCGCGGUAAUACGUAGGUGGCAAGCGUUAUCCGGAAUUAUUGGGCGUAAAGCGCGCGUAGGCGGUUUUUUAAGUCUGAUGUGAAAGCCCACGGCUCAACCGUGGAGGGUCAUUGGAAACUGGAAAACUUGAGUGCAGAAGACGUAGUUAGCCGUGGCUUUCUGGUUAGGUACCCGUCAAGGUACCGCCCUAUUCGAACGGUACUUGUUUUCUUCCCUAACAACAGAGCUUUACGUGCGAAAGCGUGGGGAUCAAACAGGAUUAGAUACCCUGGUAGUCCACGCCGUAAACGAUGAGUGCUAAGUGUUAGGGGGUUUCCGCCCCUUAGUGCUGCAGCUAACGCAUUAAGCACUCCGCCUGGGGAGUACGACCGCAAGGUUGAAACUCAAAGGAAUUGACGGGGACCCGCACAAGCGGUGGAGCAUGUGGUUUAAUUCGAAGCAACGCGAAGAACCUUACCAAAUCUUGACAUCCUCUGACCCCUCUAGAGAUAGAGUUUUCCCCUUCGGGGGACAGAGUGACAGGUGGUGCAUGGUUGUCGUCAGCUCGUGUCGUGAGAUGUUGGGUUAAGUCCCGCAACGAGCGCAACCCUUAAGCUUAGUUGCCAUCAUUAAGUUGGGCACUCUAAGUUGACUGCCGGUGACAAACCGGAGGAAGGUGGGGAUGACGUCAAAUCAUCAUGCCCCUUAUGAUUUGGGCUACACACGUGCUACAAUGGACAAUACAAAGGGCAGCGAAACCGCGAGGUCAAGCAAAUCCCAUAAAGUUGUUCUCAGUUCGGAUUGUAGUCUGCAACUCGACUAUAUGAAGCUGGAAUCGCUAGUAAUCGUAGAUCAGCAUGCUACGGUGAAUACGUUCCCGGGUCUUGUACACACCGCCCGUCACACCACGAGAGUUUGUAACACCCGAAGCCGGUGGAGUAACCAUUUGGAGCUAGCCGUCGAAGGUGGGACAAAUGAUUGGGGUG
rnacentral:rRNA from 1 species